rnacentral:rRNA from 1 species
AACGUAGGUGGCGAGCGUUAUCCGGAUUUACUGGGCGUAAAGCGUGUGCAGGCGGGGGGGUAAGUGGGGUAUGAAAUCGCCCAGCUUAACUGGGCAAGGUUAUGCCAGACUGUCACUCUAGAGUGCGAGAGAGGGGCGUGGAAUUCCGGGUGUAGUGGUGAAAUGCGUAGAGAUCCGGAGGAACCCCAGAGGCGAAGGCGGCGCCCUGGCUCGCAACUGACGCUCAGACACGACAGCAUGGGGAGCGAACGGG